rnacentral:lncRNA from 1 species
GUUUUACUUUCUCUGAAAUAUAGCACCCAGAAGGGAAACUAGGAGGGUGUUCAUGAAGGGCGAUUUGAAAGUAACUGACAAAAAAAAAAAAAGGAAAAAAAAAGAAUAAAAAAACAAAACAACUCAUUCCUUACAGAUGGCCGAAAUAGCUCAAUUGGGAGAGUGUUAGACUGAAGAUCUUCUGCAGGUCUCUGGUUCAAUUCCGGGUUUCGACAGCUGUUUCCGGACUCUUUUGUACAUGUCGACUCUGCUAAAUUAAUGUUUGGCCGCGUUAACUGUGUAAUACUGGCCCUCCACCAAAUGUCAGCCAUCUACCAAUAUUCAGUUUCCAAGGCAAAUAAAUGCCCACACCACGUGAGGCUGCCACUGGCUUUCACGGAAAAUUUCUCCCCUUAAAGAGUAUGUAAGUGAAUGCGGUGUUUUAAGAAUCGCCAGUUCUCCGUUCAACUUGUCCACAGCCCAACACAUUUGGACUACCAGGUUUGUGGUUUCCUUCGUUUACCCGCAGUGCCCCUGACAG